CGGCGCGCCUCGGUGACGUCAGCGUGGCGUCGCGCCGGGCGGGAAAGUCGAAAACGGGAGGCGGCGACGGCUUCUCGGCGGGUGAGUUGAGCAAUGAUCGUCGUCUCUCGAGGCUCCGCGCCCCUGUGGCCUAGUCUCUAGGCCCCAGCCAAACCGGCCUUUCCUUCUGGGGCUUCGCGCCCCGAACCUUGGCUUCCUCGUCUGUCCUAUCGUGGAAUAAUCCCCCAGAAAGUAAUUUAACUGCAGAAGACUUUGGUCAAAAUGUUUUCCAAAAGAAGACGGUCAAAAUCUGAGGAGAAAGAGAACACGACAGCACAUGCCUCCCAAGCUGGGAAGCAACCACUUUCCAAAAAGACAAAGAAAUCUCGUGUUCAUAAUGAAGUUGAAGAAAACAACAGUGUCUUUGUAAAGCUUCUUAAGACAUCAGGAAUUAUUCUUAAACCAGGAAAGAGUCAGAAUCAACUAGAUAAUAGAAGAAUUUAUUAGUGGCCUGGAGUCUUACAUUGAGGACCGAGACAAUUUCAGGAACUGCCUUUUGUCUUGUGAGUGUCUGCAGGAUGAAGAAGCCAGCAUGGGCGCAUCUUACUCUAAGAGCCUCAUUAAAUUGCUUCUGGGGAUUGACAUAUUACAGCCUGCCAUUAUCAAAACUUUAUUUGAAAAGUUGCCAGAAUUUCUUUUUGAAAAAGUGAACAGUGAUGGAAUCAGCAUGCCUCGACUCAUCAUCAGUCAACUGAAAUGGCUUGACAGAAUUGUGGAUGGCAAGUGAUGAAAUCCGAGAGGAAGUCAACAUGGCGGCAUAGGCAGACUCUGAACUCACCUCCUCCGGCAGACACAGCCAAUUUACAACUACUCGUGGAAAAAUUACCCCUGAGACAGAACUGAAAACUGGAUAAGAGGAACUCCUGCAACAAUGGACAAUCCUAUCAGAGGUAGAAGAGGCAGAAACUCCUUUCUGGAGAGGAAAAACGCCGCCUUCACAAGCUGCCAGCUUCACGGCCGCCCAGGAGCCGCCCACAGGAUCUCACCACCAAGAUCAUGCAGCUGAUCAGUAUUGCUCCCCUGUACCUGCAGCAUGACUUCGUCACCAGCCUACCUGAGAUCCUGGGGGAUUCCCAGCAUGCUGAUGUGGGGAAAGA